rnacentral:rRNA from 1 species
CAUGUAGGCGGCAUGACAAGUCUGGUGUGAAAUAUCUCGGCUCAACCGAGAAAACGCACUGGAAACUGUCAAGCUAGAGUAUCGGAGGGGAAGCUAGAAUUCCUGGUGUAGGGGUGAAAUCUGUAGAUAUCAGGAAGAAUACCGGCGGCGAAGGCGAGCUUCUGGCCAGAUACUGACGCUGAGAUGCGAAAGCGUGGGGAGCGAACAGGAUUAGAUACCCUGGUAGUC